CCCAACUAUCCCUAUUAAUCAUUACGUCGAUUUAGAAACCAACAAAAUAGGAUCGAACGUCCUAUUUCAUUAUUCCAUGCUAAUGUAUUCAAGCAGAAAGCCUGCUUUAAACACUCUAAUUUUUUCAAAGUAACAGUCCUGAUUCCCCGCCAACACCCAAAUUAAUGGCAUGCCGGGUUCAUCAAAAGGGAGGAAACCAGUAAAACCAGUACAUACCAGAGGGACGACCACCCUACUGACCCCGAAAUUCA
rnacentral:rRNA from 1 species